AGACACCAGUGGGUAGAUGGUGUAUGGUUAAUCAAGGGAAGAAAAUCGAAACACACAAUUUCAUAAAGUAAACUUUACAAAUUUAAAAGAUCACACCCAACGAGUAUAAAAUACUCGAGGUCCUUCAAUACUGCUUAAAAGCAGUUCCAAAAAUUUCAGAUCUGCAGCAGAUCGAUCCCUCCUUCAAAGAUCCAGGUAUCUUGCCCCAGUUCAACGCUCUGAUACCACUGAAAGAGGGC
rnacentral:lncRNA from 1 species